AAGUCGUAACAAGGUCUCCGUAGGUGAGUAACAGAACUUCCCACCUGCCUUUUGCGUAGAAGACGUUGAAUGCUAACUGAAUUUUAGGUGAACCUGCGGAGGGAUCAUUACCGAGUGAGGGCGCUCGUCGCCCAACCUCCCAACCUUUGUGAGCAAGUCUCUUUGACCCCGGGGGCGACCCUGCUCCGGCGGGAGCCCCGGGGGGCAAUACAACUCUGUAUGAACUUUACGUCGGAUUAUUUGAUUAAAUCAAAGCAAAA
rnacentral:misc_RNA from 1 species